rnacentral:lncRNA from 1 species
GACUUCCAUUAAAAAGCAAUCAAAAGAUGCUUCUCCUUCCUCUUCCUCUGACAGCAAAUCUCAACAUCUGACAGUCCUGCUGACUGUGUUCUUCCUCUGUCUCGUCCCCAGACUGCUGCUCCAGCUCCACCCGCCUCAUGCUAAAAGCCGUCCAGCUGAGAUAAUUGGCCCCCCUGUCCACCUUUUCCUGCCAUUCAUGCUGCCUGAAAGCCUUUCCCUCACAGGGGAAACGAAGACGGCGGCUCUCUGUGCUCGUCCUCUCUGUUUGGCCUCUCAUCCUCGUAGACUAACUGCACAUUAAUUUUCAUUCGGUGGACUGUUAGGACUCAGUAAUGAUGACAUCUGUCACUGGGAGCUGGGGGUGUCUUUGGGGUCUUGUGACAGAAAAAAGGGAAGAAGAAUAGAAAAUGAGUCCAGGAAAAAAAAAAGCUGAAAAAAGGCGAAGAUUCCUCUCUGACAUUUGGGGAAAAUGGAAAUGCCACUUAAUACUUCACACUGUGACAUUAUUGUCUAAAUAAAUCCUAAAGCUUACUAUAGUGUGGGAUCUGGAUCUUAUGCCAUUAGAUGAUCCAAAGACUACAAUUCAAAUCUACAAUUUAUUCUUCUGAAUGAUCAAAAAUGAAUGUUACUUAAUGUCCAGGGCAUAAAAAGUCAUCAUCAAUAAAGCUGCAUGUGAAUCUUGGUAACAAAUACUCAAUUUAUAUGCAAAUGGGCAGAUCUUGUAUCAGCCACUGUGAUAAUGUAAUGUUAUACGAGAAACUAACCCACAUGAAAUAUAAGUAUUAAUUCAGACACACAUGGAGAUAAAAGCCACGAUGAAAAAUAGGUCUAAUAUGAGCGCAAUUAUUUUCAUCAGUCAGUAUUUCUCAUGUUAAAGAGUGCUGCAAAAUCUGUAUAUGUCUUGCAUGAGUGGUAAAUUUUAACAUGAAACAUUUUUUUAGUGUCUUAUAUACGUAUAUAACAUAAUAUCCUAAACUUUUACUGUUUACAAAAUUUUAGGUGGAUUAUAAAAAGGAAAAAUAUAAAUAUUUCAUUGGUCAGCUGGAGAGGAGAGGAGUUAGACAAACAAUCCAGACCUGCACAUAAAGCUGCAAAAACUGCAUUCAUUGUCCUUGUUUGUAGUCCCAGAUCUUCACCAGACAAAUGAUAAAACACUACUGUUUGCUUGACAGAGGUCUGGGACUACAACUUUGCUAAUUAAUAUGUUUUUUCACCGGUUGUUGUGCCUGAG